GGGGAAUAUUGCACAAUGGGCGAAAGCCUGAUGCAGCGACGCCGCGUGCGGGAUGAAGGCCUUCGGGUUGUAAACCGCUUUUAAUUGGGAGCAAGCGAGAGUGAGUGUACCUUUUGAAUAAGCACCGGCUAACUACGUGCCAGCAGCCGCGGUAAUACGUAGGGUGCAAGCGUUAUCCGGAAUUAUUGGGCGUAAGAAGCUCGUAGGCGGUUUGUU
rnacentral:rRNA from 1 species